rnacentral:rRNA from 1 species
CCUACGGGUGGCAGCAGUGAGGAAUAUUGGUCAAUGGCCGGAAGGCUGAACCAGCCAAGCCGCGUGAAGGACGAAGGUGCCAAGCAUUGUAAACUUCUUUUGUAAGGGGACAAAAUCAGGCUCGAGAGCCUGACCGAGGGUACUCGAAGAAAAAGCAUCGGCUAACUCCGUGCCAGCAGCCGCGGUAAUACGGAGGAUGCGAGCGUUAUCCGGAUUUAUUGGGUUUAAAGGGUGCGUAGGUGGGUUGUUAAGUCAGCGGUAAAAGGUCGGGGCUCAACCAGAGAGGUGCCGUUGAAACUGGACGUCUUGAGUGUGCGUGAGGUAGGCGGAAUGCGUGGUGUAGCGGUGAAAUGCUUAGAUAUGACGCAGAACUCCGAUUGCGAAGGCAGCUUAC